ACGAACGCUGGCGGCGUGCUUAACACAUGCAAGUCGAACGGAAAGGCCCUGCUUGCAGGGUACUCGAGUGGCGAACGGGUGAGUAACACGUGGGUGAUCUGCCCUGCACUUCGGGAUAAGCCUGGGAAACUGGGUCUAAUACCGGAUAGGAGCCAUUUUUAGUGUGAUGGUUGGAAAGUUUUUUCGGUGUAGGAUGAGCUCGCGGCCUAUCAGCUUGUUGGUGGGGUAAUGGCCUACCAAGGCGGCGACGGGUAGCCGGCCUGAGAGGGUGGACGGCCACAUUGGGACUGAGAUACGGCCCAGACUCCUACGGGAGGCAGCAGUGGGGAAUAUUGCACAAUGGGCGCAAGCCUGAUGCAGCGACGCCGCGUGGGGGAUGACGGCCUUCGGGUUGUAAACUCCUUUCGCUAGGGACGGAGCUUUUUGUGACGGUACCUAGAUAAGAAGCACCGGCUAACUACGUG
rnacentral:rRNA from 1 species